CUACGGGGUGCUCCAGCGGGGAAUAUUGCACAAUGGGCGCAAGCCUGAUGCAGCCAUGCCGCGUGUAUGAAGAAGGCCUUCGGGUUGUAAAGUACUUUCAGUAAGGAGGAAGGCAGUUGCGUUAAUAGCGUAAUUGUUUGACGUUACUUACAGAAGAAGCACCGGCUAACUCCGUGCCAGCAGCCGCGGUAAUACGGAGGGUGCGAGCGUUAAUCGGAAUUACUGGGCGUAAAGCGCAUGCAGGUGGUUUGUUAAGUCAGAUGUGAAAGCCCUGGGCUCAACCCGGGAAUUGCAUUUGAAACUGGCAAGCUAGAGUACUGUAGAGGGGGGUAGAAUUUCAGGUGUAGCGGUGAAAUGCGUAGAGAUCUGAAGGAAUACCGGUGGCGAAGGCGGCCCCCUGGACAGAUACUGACACUCAGAUGCGAAAGCGUGGGGAGCAAACAGGAUUAGAUACCCGGGUAGUC
rnacentral:rRNA from 1 species